rnacentral:lncRNA from 1 species
GAAAAAUCACAAAAACAUGUUAAUACAUCAUGUUAAAACAGAUCAAUAAUACCCCAACAAUCAAUAAAUCUAAAUAUGUUAUUACUGAUAUCGUGAGUGUGUGUUCAAGGACCAUGCUAACCAAUAACGAGCAAAAAUAGGAAAGAUAAUAGCUUUCUUUGAAGACAUCAUAUAGUAUAAACUUGAGAACUCAUCAAAUACACUUGAUUCAACUGAAAUUAAACAAUCACCAAAGUCCAGGGGUCAAAAAG